GGGGGCGAAAAGGGUUCGACGGGGGUGAUUGACGCUAGGAUGGCAUGCCGAGGUCCUGUUAGCUCGUUAAACUGACAGGGUUAAAAUACUCGCAGACAACUACGAGUACGCCCUGGCUGCUUAAGGGCAGCCAGCGUUCUUUCAGCUUUUUCCUGCGGGGCUGAAAAGAGCGUCAUUUUAGCAGGAUAACUCUCUUCCCGAUGCUCAUAGGGAAGAGGGCGAAAACGGCAUGAGCUAGCGUUUCGGACAUCCUGCCCGCUGGAGAGCUGAGCCGCGAAAUCUAAAAAACGGGCUAAGCAUGUAGAAGUCCUAGGGGAACGCUUCCGGACGGGGGUUCGAUUCCCCCCGCCUCCACCA
rnacentral:tmRNA from 1 species